rnacentral:rRNA from 1 species
UCAUACCUAUUCGAAGGGAUAGGGUCGGUUCGGCCGGAUUUCACACAAGUGUUGCAUGGCUGUCGUCAGCUCGUGUCGUGAGAUGUUGGGUUAAGUCCCGCAACGAGCGCAACCCUCAUCCUUAGUUGCUAUCAGGUAAUGCUGAGUACUUUAAGGAAACUGCCAGUGAUAAGCUGGAGGAAGGUGGGGAUGAUGUCAAGUCAUCAUGGCCUUUAUGGAGUGGGCUACACACGUGCUACAAUGGUGUCUACAAUGGGUUGCAAGGUGCGCAAGCCUAAGCUAAUCCCUAAAAGACAUCUCAGUUCGGAUUGUACUCUGCAACUCGAGUACAUGAAGUUGGAAUCGCUAGUAAUCGUGGAUCAGCAUGCCACGGUGAAUACGUUCUCGGGUCUUGUACGCACUGCCCGUCACGCCAUGGGAAUUGGUUUCACUCGAAGCU